CUUAUAGCUCAGCUGGAUAGAGCAACUGCCUUCUAAGCAGUGGGUCGCAGGUUCGAAUCCUGCUAGGCG
rnacentral:tRNA from 1 species